GCCUCGGUAGCUUAGUCCGGUUGGAGCGGUCGGCUGUUAACCGACAGGUCCCCAGUUCAAAUCUGGGCCGAGGCG
rnacentral:tRNA from 1 species